GAAUCAAGUCGUGCAGGAUCUUCUGGGGAAUUCUGUGACCUGGAAUUCUCAUAACAUGCUGUGCAGCAGUUCGUUUUAAGUUCUCUGACAAUGGCGGCCUGGUGACGAUGUCACGGAGAUAUGCUGACAGAUGGAGAGUGAAUUGAAUACCUUCUCGUCCAACCAGAUGUGGAGGACUUUAACAGUGAUGUUGACAUUGUUGAUGAAUCCUGGAUGCGAUCACCUAAGAAGAAAAUUGCUGGAAGUAACAGUCCAUCUGAUGAAUCUGAUGACUCCAAGGAGCAGCACCUACUCCAGAACCAGCAGAAGAUUAAAUGGGUCAGCCCUCUUGUCCAUUCAUUGUUCAGCAUCUAUUACACCUCUGGAAGCGAUAAACAAUCUCAUCAAGAGAAGGU